GACGUUGCAGUGACUCUCCUGCGCUCUGCCCCGUCCUGUGACAGAGCUGCUCGCACCAUGUGGAGGACGCUCAUCUCCUCGUGGAAAACUCAGGAGCCGGUGCUGCAGAUACUCUUCCUUGUGCUGGAAUACUGGCCAGUGCACAGGAGAUGCACCUCUGAUGGGGAUGACACGGCUGUCUUUCCCCUGGCUGCAACUGUGGCACUCUGGGAGAUCCUCCAGCUGUCCUGGUUCCCUAGUGGAGUGAAGGAGAAUUCCCCCCGCCUCCUUCUGACUCUGUUCUUCCAAGUUUUCAUCAGCACAGAGGAGAUGUCACAGGAG